CGUUGGUCGGCGCAUGCGCAGUCUCGUAAAUAAGCACAUAUCUAUAGGUAGCAAAGCUCGACAGAACACCUACAUUAACAAGACAACUGCGUGUUUUUUUUUAUUUAAUUAUCCCUCCGCGGCUCCCGUAGCUCCAGAGAAGCUUGAAUGCAGUGCAGCAGGUGUGUUUCCUCUCUUCCAGGUGUGAGUAAACAGCAGGAACAGUGCUGUGAGUCUUGUGGUCUGUCUCAGUGCAGAACCGACACACACAGGUCUGGUCGUCUCUACAGAACAGCUCCAGGGGU